CGCUCCCUGGAGGCCCUUCCAGAGAGGGACCAGGGGCCCCGCCCCGCAGCUGGAGAAGGGGUGAAUGCCUUUCCUACCCAAAGCCUGGUCCGCGGCCCUGCUUGUUGCGUCUCCAAGACCACGUGUCUGCUGCAUUUUAAAAAUAGUUGUGAACAUCUGACUUUCUCCUUUUACUUUGGAGUUGCUGAAACGUAACCUCAGAAUAAGUGGGGUGUGACUGCCCCCUCUCCUUUGAGGGAAAAGAAAAAGUAUUUUCAGGCCAGGCAUGGUGGCUAAUGCUUAUAAUCUCAGCACUUUGGGAGGCUGAGAAUACAUCAAUAAAAGAAGAACAAUUCAAGAGAAACAGGAAAUUCACAGAAGAGGAAACCGGAAUUGUCAUAAACAAAUGAAAAAUGCUCAACCUCCCUAGUAAUUAUGAGAAUUCAAAUCAAAAUAAAGACUUCAUUUCACACUCA
rnacentral:lncRNA from 1 species